CAACAGUAGCCGAAACCACCAAAACAGAGGCAGCCCCUUUGGGCUGCUCUCUCUCCUCCUUUUCCUCCAUUUUUCCUAUUUAAUUUCUUUCUAUUUUAUUUUGAGAUUUGAAGAACUACUCACACAAAGCUUCAAGGAUCCUCCAAGGGACUCAAUUUCUACAAGAUUUAAGAUUUUGGGCUUGAUUACUUAAACGUCGCAGCUUCUAUUGAUGUAUUACCAGUUCAUUAUGCGUUUCUACAAGGCCGGGAGAUGCUUCUUGUUGAGGGUUUAAAGCUCGAUGGAGUUCCAGCAGGAAUAUAUUCUGUCCAUUGUUUGCCUUUAAGGUUGAUAAGUUCUGAUGGAUCACCAGCAAGAUGCAUCCUCAUCAAAUAAGCACUUAGGGUUUAGGUUUUCAACAGCCACGCUAAUCGUAAAAAUAAAACUUGUAUCCUCAUACACAUAUCUUGUCUGGUCUUGAUCUUUUGUUUUGCAUUUUUUUUAGUCUUUAUUGUGUC